UACGUAGGGGGCGAGCGUUGUCCGGAUUUAUUGGGCGUAAAGAGCUCGUAGGCGGUUUGGCAAGUCGGGUGUGAAAACUCCGGGCUCAACUCGGAGACGCCACUCGAUACUGCUAUGACUCGAGUCCGGUAGGGGAGUGCGGAAUUCCUGGUGUAGCGGUGAAAUGCGUAGAGAUCGGGAGGAACAUCAGUGGCGAAGGCGGCCAUCUGGGACAACACUGACGCUGAAGCACGAAAGCGUGGGGAGCAAACAGG
rnacentral:rRNA from 1 species